rnacentral:misc_RNA from 1 species
ACUGAUAGGACUCAAACUCGCGUGCAGAGCGUACCACGGCGUGGUCGUGUUUCGGCGGCGCAUCUACGUGGUGGGCGGCAUGAAGCUGCGCACGUACCUCCGCUCCAUGGACAGCUACGACCUGGACCGCGGCGAGUGGCAACACCACUCGCCGAUGCACGUGCCGCGGGCGUACGUGACCUCGGCCGUGCUCGGAGAGCACAUCUACGCCAUGGGCGGCCACACCGGCGUGGAGCGUACGUCCACCGUGGAGCGAUACAGCCUUCGCACAAACCAGUGGACCAUAGUUGCCCGCAUGAUGAGGAGGCGCAGCGAUGGCUCUGCAUGCACCUUCAAAGGCAGGCUGUACAUCAGCGGCGGCUUCAACGGCCGCCACGUGCUCGAGAGCGUGGAGGAGUACACGCCUUCCCUGGACUCGUGGUCGCUGGUGCGACCGCUGCCCCACCCACGCUGCAGCCACCGCAUGAUAGAGCACGGCGGUCGGCUGUACGUCAUCGGCGGCUUCGACGGUCGCCGGCGGCUGUACACAGUGCUCCGCAGUGAUGCCCACCUUCCACUGAGCUGGCACAAGCUACCUCCCCUGAUCUGCGCCCGCAGCACAUUUGCCGUGGCGCAGCUUGGAGACACAAUCUACGUCAUUGGCGGCUACAAUGGGACGGCACUGGUAUCGGACGUGGAGUGCUACACGCCGGGAAACAAGUGCUGGCAGAAGGCCAAGCCACUUAAUGGGCCCGUCAGCGCGCUGUCUGGCUGCGUCAUCACCGGCGUCGAGGCAGCCCGGAAGUUCUCGGCCCGAGGAGCUCUGCUGCCACCUGUGAAACCACAGGUCGCCUGAGAAGUCAAAGCGAAGCUACCACAUCUAACACACCGCAGCAUGACUAUACAAGUGUUUAAUCAAAAUAGCUGCUAUAUAUAAAUUAUUUAACGGACCUGUGACUAAAAUUUUAAGGCAGCACAAUGUGCCGCUAGUAGGCAUCGACGUUAGCACUUUGCUUCCAUUUCCUAGAAGAGCAGAUGUUAUUUUUUAGUAUGCGUACCACUCUUCGACUCGAAUCAUAUGCGACAGUACCCGCAAGUAUGCUGAGACGCGGAAGAACGCAGCCUGUUGCCUGCGAACGAAACUAAGACAAGUUCACCUGGAAGAAGGAAUCCUCGAGCAACGUGGCUCCCAGUUGGUGAUAAAAGUUUGUACGUCUGAGUAAUCUUGACGUGUCACGAAUGUCCACGUGGAGCAGCUUUCUUGCAUUCGUGAACCAUUACUCAGUAUAGUGAAACAAGUCCUGACUUCAUCCUAAAGACCUUUUUCUUUCUUGUUUUAUAGGAAGUGGGGGACAUCUUGGACGCUUUAGUAGGCUUUAGAUUGACAGGUGUACAGAUUUUCGUUCUUCAGGGACUCGUCACAGACGAGCCAUCUCCGUAGCCAGAAGAGCAAGGACGACUAAACUCAUGGCAAGCUGAAGCACAGCUGCACGCAGCCGGAUGAACAAUGAGCUGCAAUCCUUUUUUUUCUGCGCGUAUUCUCUCCAGCUACAAGAGUGGAACAGAGAUGGUCUACAGAACGAUGAUCUUCUAAACAAAGAUGGCGUCGUGAUGGCAGACAGUUAAUCAGCAGCAACUGGCAGCUUCUGAGCGACGUCAACGCCUCGGCAAGCCCAUUGGAGAAUCGACAGCAGGUCCGCAGCAGCCACAGUGUGCACAGUUGUACCGAUUUCCGUUCCUGUAGGACAGGCCAUAAAGCGAGUAACAAGGACAGUGACUGGUGAGAUUGUCUAAGCCUUUAUGAGCACCGCUUAUGAACUUAAGAUGUAUCGCCCGGAAGGUCGAGAUCCCUUAACAUGGCGCAGCCUCCCGCACCACUAUGAAAUGCAAUGGUGAACCAGCGCCGGGACGACUUCUAAAGCGAUGGCGGCUCCUAGGAAGCCGGCAGUCAAGCAGUGGCAUAAAACGGCAAGAGUGCUGACGAUACGAGUCGGUGCACCAUCGACAACGCGUCUCAAAACGUUCGACGACGAGGUAUCAACAAAACGACGGUGAUGUGUAUACCUGCGUUAAGAAGUCCUUCGUUUAGCCAGUUCAUGUAACUUGUUUUGGAGGCCUUGAUAACAAUGACAUUGUGACCCGUAUCGUGAACUCGCCUGGCCAACGGUGUGGUAGCAGCUUCGUCGGACGAUCGACAUGAACGAAGUCUCAGAGUGCCUAACCGCUGCGACCAUGUGUAUACUGUUCUCGAACCUUAGACUAGAAGCCUUUUGUUUAUAUUAACGCUGACCGUUGAGCAGACCUAACGAGGUAUCUUCCUUCAGCACCGGUCAUACAUCUUACUGAUGUACGAGGACCUGGCCGAAUGUUUAGAUGUAAUCAGGCUUUGUUUUGCUUUGAUUGCUACCUUAAUCGUG